UUGAAGGGAGAUCGACCGUGUUAUAUUCGCUUUAUGGUACUUGAAGGGAGAUCGACCGUGUUAUAUUCGCUUGGCUGACUUCGAAUAAUACAUGGUUGAUCUUUUCUCAGUAUCUGACUUCGAAUAAUACAUGGUUGAUCUUUUCUCAG
rnacentral:pre_miRNA from 1 species